rnacentral:misc_RNA from 1 species
AAGUCGUAACAAGGUUUCCGUAGGUGAACCUGCGGAAGGAUCAUUAACACGUAUCCAACGUUAAACAACCCUGUGAACUUUCAGCCGCUCUUGUAGCCCUCGAAGAACAGCAAUCCCGGUAAAUCAUUGCCGAACAGUUUUGAUUCGGGACCUCUGUCCAAAAGGUAUCAAGUUACAAUUGAAGCGUAGGAGCAGUGGCAUGGCUUCCCCAAGCGGCUAGUGAAAUGACAUUGUCACUAGUUGUGUAAGGAUAACGCCUCACGGUUGCUAGAGGUCGAUCACCGGCCGGCAGACAUGUCACAGGGCUUUACGCCCCUUAACCACCCCUUGCAAGAAUGCGGGGAAAAAAAACCGAACAACUGUUAACAAUGGAUAUCUUGGUUCUC